rnacentral:rRNA from 1 species
GGAGGGUGCAAGCGUUACUCGGAUUUACUGGGCGUAAAGCGCGCGUAGGCGGUUUGGUAAGUCAGGUGUGAAAGCCCGCGACUCAAUCGUGGAAGUGCAUUUUGAUACUGCCAGACUAGAGUUCAGGAGGGGUGAGCGGAAUUCCAGGUGUAGAGGUGAAAUUCGUAGAUAUCUGGAGGAACAACGGCGGCGAAGGCGGCUCACUGGACUGAUACUGACGCUGAGGUGCGAAAGCGUGGGGGGGAGCGAACAGGAUUAGAUACCCUGGUAGUCCACGCCGUAAACCGAUGGACACUAGGUGUCGGGGGCUAUACCCCCCCCCCCUCGGUGCCGUAGUUAACGCGUUAAGUGUCCCGCUGGGGACUACGACCGCAAGGUUA